rnacentral:lncRNA from 1 species
AUUGUGGGAUCUUAUGAUCAUGAGAGAUCUCCGAAGGGACAUUUAACAUGACAGGUCAGACAGCUCAGCCCACAUUCUCACAGAGAACAUGGGGUUCCUGGAACAGCCUGAGCUGGGGAGGACGAGGGGAACACAUGCAUAGCAGCAGAGCCCGGAAGCUUGGCCAGCCGUUGUGACCGUGCCCUUUGACCCUGUGUGAGACAAACCUCAGGACCUGUUCAAGCCUCCAGUGAGGACGCCUCCUCAAAGACCACCUCGGCCAGAGUUGACUGGGGCAAGUCUCUUACCUAAAGAAGGUUUAAGAGGAGAGGGGAGUGUCAACAAGGAGGCAAAGCAGCCAAAUGUGCAGAGGGCCUGGAAACUAGAACGGGGCUUAGCUCACAUUGCUCUCCUCAAAGACAGCAAAUGCAUCAAUUUGCUUUCCUGGGAGGACUGCAUGAGAACAUCCCCUUCCUGUACCUAUGCCCCCACUAUGUUCUAUUUUUAAUCUUAUUUGUGUGGAUUGGGUAGGCAAACUAUGAUAGCCCCUUGAUUUAAUUUAUAUUACAUUUACAUCUUUUUCUUAUUAAACUGAUGACCUCUUUAUAUAUUAAAGAUAUCAAUCCUUUUGAUACAUUGAAUUUUUUUCAAUUAUCUACUUAGCACAGUGUCCUUAUUUAAUCAUAAUGAAAUUAAUCAUAAUGGUUUGCCAUUUAAUCCUCAAAACAAUCCUGUGAGGUAGAAUUUUUUCAGGAGCAUUCUACCUUUAUCUUUCUGUGUGGUUAUAAGCAAGUUUGCUGUUUUCCUUCAAAUAAAGAUGAGUGGCGAAAAGUGUGGCCUACAGAAUCAGGCUAUCCUCGUUUGCUCCUGGGGGGCC